rnacentral:rRNA from 1 species
GACGAACGCUGGCGGCGUGCUUAACACAUGCAAGUCGAACGGAAAGGCCCCUUCGGGGGUACUCGAGUGGCGAACGGGUGAGUAACACGUGAGUAACCUGCCCUUGACUUCGGGAUAACUUCAGGAAACUGGGGCUAAUACCGGAUAGGAAUCCUUGCUGCAUGGUGGGGGUUGGAAAGCUUCGGCGGUUUUGGAUGGACUCGCGGCUUAUCAGCUUGUUGGUGGGGUAGUGGCUUACCAAGGCUUUGACGGGUAGCCGGCCUGAGAGGGCAACCGGCCACAUUGGGACUGAGAUACGGCCCAGACUCCUACGGGAGGCAGCAGUGGGGAAUAUUGCACAAUGGGCGGAAGCCUGAUGCAGCAACGCCGCGUGCGGGAUGACGGCCUUCGGGUUGGAAACCGCUUUCAGCAGGGGCGAAGCUUGUGGUGACGGUACCUGCAGAAGAAGCACCGGCUAACUACGUG